rnacentral:tRNA from 1 species
GCGUUUUCGUAGGGUGCGCCAAUUUAUGCUUUGGCUGGCUACGAACCUGUAGGCAGGAGUUUGAAUCUCUUCGGGCGCACCA